UACGGAGGGUGCGAGCGUUGUCCGGAAUCACUGGGCGUAAAGGGCGCGUAGGCGGCCGUGUAAGUCACUUGUGAAAUCCCGGGGCUCAACUCCGGGGCCGCAGGUGAGACUGCGUGGCUAGAGCACGGUAGAGGCGAGUGGAAUUCCCGGUGUAGCGGUGGAAUGCGUAGAUAUCGGGAAGAACACCGGUGGCGAAGGCGGCUCGCUGGGCCAUUCCUGACGCUGAGACGCGAAAGCUAGGGGAGCGAACAGG
rnacentral:rRNA from 1 species